GCAGAGAGAGGGUGGAAAUAGAUGUGUUGGGGUGUUUAAAUGAUGCAGAGAGAGGGUGAAAAUAGAUGUGUUGGGGUGUUUGAAUGAGGCAGAGAGAGGGUGAAAUUAGAUGUGUUGGGGUGUUUGAAUGAAGCAGAGAGGGGGUGGAAAUAGAUGUACUGGGGUUUUUGAAUGAAGCAGAGAGAGGGUGGAAAUAGAUGUGCUGGGGUGUUUGAAUAAAGCAGAGAGAAGGUGAAAUUAGAUGUGCUGGGGUGUUUGAAUGAAGCAGAGAGAGGGUGAAAUUAGAUGUGCUGGGGUGUUUGAAUGAGGCAGCAGACAGGGGGAAAAUGAUGGGGUAAAAUGAUGUGUUGGGGUGUUUGAAUGAGGCAGCAGACAGGGGGUAAAUGAUGUGUUGGGGUGUUUGAAUGAGGCAGCAGACAGGGGGUAAAUGAUGUGUUGGGGUGUUUGAAUGAGGCAGCAGACAGGGGGGAAAUGAUGUGUUGGGGUGUUUGAAUGAGGCAGCAG
ensembl:lncRNA